rnacentral:tRNA from 1 species
GCGACACUAGCUCAUCUGGAUAGAGCAACUGCCUUCUAAGCAGUAGGUGGGCCGUUCGAGCCGGCCGUGUCGCA